GGUAUAGCUCAGGGGUAGAGCGCUCGCUUUGAAUGCGAGAAGGCUGGGGUUCGAUUCCCCAUAUC
rnacentral:tRNA from 1 species